GAAAGGUCAGGUAUGCUUAACACACUAUUUGUGCCUGGCUGACACAAGCGGAGGACGCCUGCCAGUGAGUUGUGUCUCAUCUGUUGUGAUUGUUUUUGACAGAUGGAACUUGGAGCCUACAAAAGGCCUGCGCGUAGAAGGUUCCGCUGGAUAACGAGUGGAGGAUCGAGAAAAGGUUCCGAUCCGACUUGGAAGGACCCACCCUCUAUUCGGGAUCGACAUGGGGAAGAAGGCCUUCAGGCGUCGAUCCAACCUCUCAAUCACGGAUGAAAAUCCAGGAGAACCUAAUUGAACUAGAGUCGCUAACCGAAACUACCAUGCUGACUCAUUACCCGCCGCCGCAGUCCGAUUUCGGCUAUCCUCAACAGGGGCUCCCAUCCAUAGACAACGUUGAGGCACAAUCGUGGUUCUCAAACUUCUUGCAGCCUUCGCCCGAAGGAGAUGACUCGAUGCUUAUGCUCCGGUCCGAUGAUCAACAGUCGAUACAUAUUCCAGACUGGCUUUCCGGUCCGGUCUCCGAUAGUGAUCAGAACGUUUCCGGUAAUUUUUUAUCUCUUAUCUAUAUUGAUUCAUCUAUCGGCCUAUAUUCCACUCGAUCAAUCAUUCAGUGAACUAAUCGCUUUGUCAAAAUACAUGUUCA
rnacentral:lncRNA from 1 species